GUCAAUCAUUCACAUAUGAGGCUGAGGAAUGUGUGUGCUUGUUGGCCCUGCCUCCUCCAUAGGCCUGCUAUGUGCAGCAAGGAACCUUCUGUAUGCAUGCAUAGUUUAUAAUCCUGAAAGUGCAAGGCUCUAAAUUGUGCAGGGAGCCCACAUGUAUAGAUCAGGCUCUGCACUCCAUACUUUCUCCCCCAAUGCAUGGAACUCAGUGGAGACAGGCUACAAGGAUGCAAUGGAGAGGGUAGGAUUAGUGAGUGUGCACCUUCUUCCCCUUCCAUGGCUUUGCAUGGCAUUCUCCUAGAAAUGAUGUAUACCGUAUGUUUAUGAUGUUUACCAUAUAUAAAUACCCCAACACUUCCCUACAUGUGCUCUUCCAUACCCUCCAAGUGUCCCGAUUUUCCAGGGACAGUUCUGGAAUUACGAGAGCCAUCCUAGCUUCUGAUUUGAUUCCAUAAUGUCUCUGUUUCCCCCACCAGAGCCACGGCUGCCAAGCUCUGGGAGGAGAAAGAGCCGGUGCUUGUCCCGAGCGAUGACUGUGGCUGCAGUUGUGAGGGAGCAUCUCGCGGCCUCUCCGUGGCCUCUCCUUGGACACCACUGCCAGCCUUCUCCCUUGCGUGGCUGCUGGCAGCAGGUGAGGAGGAGGAGAGGCUGCCACUGCCAAGGCCCAACACCACAUGAUGCGCCAGCUCUCUCUCUCUCUCUCUCUCUCUCUCUCUCUCUCUCUCUCUCUCUCACACACACACACACACACACACACACACACUUUGUGCAUCCAUGUCUUAUCUUGCCCCUUUCCAAAAUGUAUUUAUUGGUGUGUGUGUUUUCUUUUUGUAAAUCUACCGAAGAAUAAAAAAAUAAAAUCGGGAUUAAUGAGUUUUCUCAGGACAGUAGAGGGCAUAUGUGCUGUGUCCUGUUGGUGUAGUUGUGGUGACACUGGCUCUUCUUCUGAUAGGAAAUGCUCUACUGGGGGGGGGGACAAACAAAGAAUGGGGGGGGUCAAGGAGUGUCAGUUGGGGGAGUGAGAAAUAUCUCUAUUUUCAUCUGAAUAAUGUUAGAGGGUAUGCUCUUCGUUCAUCCUUUCGUGAUGCCAUUGUUAGCAAUGACGACCUAUGGCAGGGGUCGGCAACCCGUGGCUCCGGAGCCGCAUGUGGCUCUUUUACACCUUUGCCGCAGCUCCGCAGAUCCUCGGGGACCCUGAACAGAAAAGCAGAAGCGCCAGGAAGAGGAGGGGGAUGGAGCUGGGCAGCCGAGCCGGGCAAAGCAAGGCGGCGGCGGCAGCGGAGCUCGAGAGGCGGCGGCGGCUGGGAUGGAGGAGGAGGCGGCGGCCGGAGAAGGGCUACUGCUGCUGCUGCCGCCGGAGGGAAGUUCUGCCUCACCUGAGGCGAGGGAGAGAGAGCGCGAGCGCUCGAGGGAAAUGGCGGGGCGGGGUUUUUGAGUGGCCGCCGAGUUGAGGGAGAGCACCUGAGGUGAACCACAAAAUGGGCCCGCCCUCCCUGUCAGAGAGGAAGGGGUGAAUUACGUCAGUGAUGAGGAGGGGGUCCAGAGGUAGCCAGUAGGUGCUGUGAUGCAGCAUUUCGGCCUCAGAGUGAGGCGGGGGAGCACGAGAGCAAUUGCAGAGGGGGGGGGCUGUUAGGCACCAAAAUCCUGCAUGUGGGAUUUCCCCCGUUCUCUCAAGCCUAUGCAAUUCCUGCCCUUCUCCCUUCCCCCUCAAGAUUUGCUGCAGAGACAAGCAAAUGAAGAAGUAUUAGCUGACAUGUCCCCGGAUCCCAUGGAAAGCACCACAGAUUCCUUUGCUUACCAGCUCUUUUUAUUUUAAGUUGGCUUCAAACCUGUAAUUGUGUAGGUGUAUGUAUGUAUACAUACAUAUACACACAUAAAUAUUCAUAUCUCUUCCCUCUCACCUUCCUUUCACCCAGUCUCUCUGGCACUGGUUUAUAAAUGCUGCUAUGUAGAAAUGAUGAGAAAGUUGCACCAGCAGAAGGAAUGGAUAUGUGCUGUUAGUAAAAAGAGAGGGAGUUGAACUGCAGGGAGGGACAGACACUUUUCUAUGUAUUAAUUUGUAUAAUGCCCUCUAUGCACAUGGUGCUUUGCAAAAAAUGGAUAUGAGAGGUACCAUACCCCUCUUUGCUAUCUGAAAUAGACCCAGGGAAAAGAGAGAGAAUGGGGGAAGGGGAAGAAUGUGUGGUUAUUUACAUUUGGCUUGUUUUGCGGCUCCCAGUUUUUUUUUCCUUCGGAAACGGGUCCAAGUGGCUCUUUUUGUCUUAAAGGUUGCAGACCCCUGACCUAUGGCUUCCUUGGAGAAUUGCGGUUGAGGCGGC
rnacentral:lncRNA from 1 species